AUUGAACGCUGGCGGCAGGCCUAACACAUGCAAGUCGAGCGAGCGGCGGACGGGUGAGUAAUGUAUGUGGAACUGCCCGAUAGAGGGGGAUAACUCCUGGAAACGGUAGCUAAUACCGCAUACUAUCAGAUGUGCCCAUAUGGGAUUAGCUCGUGGGUGGGGUAAUGGCUCACCAAGGCGACGAUCCCUAGCUGGUCUGAGAGGAGGAGCAGCCACAAUUGGAAUGAGACACGGUCCAGACUCCUACGGGAGGCAGCAGUGGGGAAUAUUGCACAAUGGGCGCAAGCCUGAUGCAGCCAUGCCGCGUGUAUGAAGAAGGCCCUAGGGUUGUAAAGUACUUUCAGUCGGGAGGCGUUACCGGCAGAAGAAGCACCGGCUAACUCCGUGCCAGCAGCCGCGGUAAUUC
rnacentral:rRNA from 1 species